CCCAGCGGUAGUCAGCUAUCCGGCCCUCUCAGUGCCUGUGAUAGUGUUACACUGCUGGAAGAUGAAGACAUUGCUAUUCUAUGCUUGUUGUCACCGUUGCCGUUCUGGUGCCGUGUGACACUAGUAUUCAGCAGUGUUGUGCUUCCUUGAGAGUGCACUGGAUACUUUAGUAUUUGGUGCUAGUCGGGAAGCAUACAGC